rnacentral:rRNA from 1 species
GGCUCAGGAUGAACGCUAGCGACAGGCCUAACACAUGCAAGUCGAGGGGCAGCACAAGGAGCAAUCUGAGGUGGCGACCGGCGCACGGGUGAGUAACACGUAUGCAACCUGCCUGUAAGCGGGGAAUAACCCGUUGAAAGACGGACUAAUACCGCAUAAUACUAAAUUACUGCAUGGUAAUUUAUUUAAACAUUUAUGGCUUACAGAUGGGCAUGCGCAUGAUUAGCUAGUUGGAGAGGUAACGGCUCCCCAAGGCAACGAUCAUUAGGGGUUCUGAGAGGAAGGUCCCCCCACACUGGUACUGAGACACGGACCAGACUCCUACGGGAGGCAGCAGUGAGGAAUAUUGGUCAAUGGACGAGAGUCUGAACCAGCCAAGUCGCGUGCAGGAAGAAUUGUCCUAUGGAUUGUAAACUGCUUUUGCAGGGGAAUAAAGUGCAUCACGUGUGAUGUUUUGUAUGUACUCUGCGAAUAAGGAUCGGCUAACUCCGUGCCAGCAGCCGC